rnacentral:rRNA from 1 species
UGGAGCCUGCAGCUUAAUUUGAUUCAAUGUAGAAAAAUUGGUUCGGGUCCGGACAAGGGGAAGAUUGACAAAUUAAGACGUCUUUUCUGAUUCAAUGGGCGGCGUAAGACCGUUUUUAGUUCAUGGAAAAAGAUUUGUCUGGUUAGUCCCGAUAAAGAAAGGGCUCUAAAUUGAUGUUUUUCGAUCGUAUCGAUGGCACAUUCUUCUUAGAGGACCAGAGAGGUCCUCAGUCGCAAAUGUGAUUAUUUAUUAACGUCACACUGAGAAGAAACCUGAGGUUUGUUGGUGACGGACUUCAUAAUUUUGAGCUUCGGUUAAGUAAUGAGGACGAUAUCUAAGCUGCAUCACCUCUCCAAACUUUCACAUCCCGCCAGUGUAGGUAUUUAAUGCCCUUAAGGUCCAGAGCCAUCUGCACACUAUAUUGAAGAGAUCAAUUGGUGCUUUCCCUGAUCUAAAAGACUGGGUAUCCAGUCAAAAUUCUUUCGUACUGGGAAAUAGGGUAAUGUAAUUUCCCCCUUGAACAAUGAAUUUUCAAUACACAUGUCUCAUAAGCUCGUGUUAACCAAGUACCAGCACUUUAUACACAUUAUACGUAGUUACUGCCGAUUGAUUUUGACAGGUUUUGAAACUGGCGCUUUAAUUUCUUCCUUUGUUAAUUGAGCCGAGGUGCUGUAAAGAUGGUCGAACUUGGUUAUUUAGUGGCAGUAAAGUCAUAAGAUUUUCGUGGGUGAACCUGUGGAAGGA